rnacentral:tRNA from 1 species
AUUCUAGUAGCUUAACCCCAAAGCAUUGGUCUUGUAAACCAAAGAUUGAAAACUAUAACUUUCCUAGAAUA